GAUGAACGCUGGCGGCGUGCCUAAUACAUGCAAGUCGAGCGAACAGACGAGGAGCUUGCUCCUCUGACGUUAGCGGCGGACGGGUGAGUAACACGUGGAUAACCUACCUAUAAGACUGGGAUAACUUCGGGAAACCGGAGCUAAUACCGGAUAAUAUAUUGAACCGCAUGGUUCAAUAGUGAAAGACGGUUUUGCUGUCACUUAUAGAUGGAUCCGCGCCGCAUUAGCUAGUUGGUAAGGUAACGGCUUACCAAGGCAACGAUGCGUAGCCGACCUGAGAGGGUGAUCGGCCACACUGGAACUGAGACACGGUCCAGACGCCUACGGGAGGCAGCAGUAGGGAAUCUUCCGCAAUGGGCGAAAGCCUGACGGAGCAACGCCGCGUGAGUGAUGAAGGUCUUCGGAUCGUAAAACUCUGUUAUUAGGGAAGAACAAAUGUGUAAGUAACUAUGCACGUCUUGACGGUACCUAAUCAGAAAGCCACGGCUAGCUACGUG
rnacentral:rRNA from 1 species